rnacentral:rRNA from 1 species
GUGGGGAAUAUUGCACAAUGGGGGAAACCCUGAUGCAGCAACGCCGCGUGAAGGAUGAAGGCCCUUGGGUCGUAAACUUCUGUUCUAGGGGAAGAUAGUGACGGUACCUUAGGAGCAAGUCCCGGCUAACUACGUGCCAGCAGCCGCGGUAAUACGUAGGGGGCAAGCGUUAUCCGGAAUUAUUGGGCGUAAAGAGUACGUAGGUGGUUACCUAAGCAAGGGGUUUAAGGCAAUGGCUUAACUAUUGUUCGCCCCUUGAACUGGGCUACUUGAGUGCAGGAGAGGAAAGCGGAAUUCCUAGUGUAGCGGUGAAAUGCGUAGAUAUUAGGAGGAACACCAGUGGCGAAGGCGGCUUUCUGGACUGUAACUGACACUGAGGUACGAAAGCGUGGGGAGCAAACAGGAUUAGAAACCCCUGUAGUCC